UACGUAGGGACCAAGCGUUGUUCGGAUUUACUGGGCGUAAAGGGCUCGUAGGCGGUUUGUCGCGUCGGGAGUGAAAUCCACUGGCUUAACUGGUGGCUUGCUUUCGAUACGGGCAGACUGGAGGUAUGCAGGGGAGAACGGAAUUCCUGGUGUAGCGGUGAAAUGCGCAGAUAUCAGGAGGAACACCGGUGGCGAAGGCGGCUCUCUGGGCAGACACUGACACUGAGACGCGAAAGCGUGGGGAGCAAACAGG
rnacentral:rRNA from 1 species